rnacentral:rRNA from 1 species
GGUGUGGAUAGGGGAGAAAUUCCAAUCGAACCCGGAGAUAGCUGGUUCUCCUCGAAAUAGCUUUAGGGCUAGCCUCGUGAGAGUCAGGCGGAGGUAGAGCACUGAAUACCCGAGGGGGCGUCAAAGCUUACCAAAGGUUAUCAAACUCCGAAUGCCGCGCUGAUGCUUCACGGGAGUCAGACUACACGAGAUAAGUUGGGUGGUCAAAAGGGAAACAGCCCAGACCUGCAGCUAAGGUCCCAAAGUGCGUGUUAAGUGGAAAAGGAUGUGGGAUUUCGAAGACAACCAGGAUGUUGGCUCAGAAGCAGCCACACAUUCAAAGAGUGCGUAAUAGCUCACUGGUCGAGAGGUCCUGCGCCGAAAAUGUCCGGGGCUCAAACACGCCACCGAAGCUCAGGAAUGUAUUUAUACAUUGGUAGAGGAGCAUUGUCAGUGCAUCGAAGCUGUACCGGUAAGGAGCAGUGGAGCGCUGAGAAGAGAGAAUGCCGGAAUGAGUAGCGAGAAAGAGGUGGGAAUCCUCUUGGCCGAAUAUCCAAGGAUUCCGGGGUAAAGCUGAUCUGCCCCGGGUAAGUCGGGACCUAAGGCGAGGCAGAAAUGCGUAGCCGAUGGACAGCAGGUGGAGAUUCCUGCACUGCCAUAUAUCAGAAAUGUGGGGACGCAUCAGGAAAGUGUGGGCCGGGAAAGGAAAGACCGGUGCAAGCGGAGGAGGGGACAUGCAGGCAAAUCCGCAUGUCAACCCAAGAGCGUUAUGCGGAGCGAAGAAUAGUAGCGAAGCACACGGACAGGGUGCCGAGAAAAGCCGCUAUCGUGUAUAUGGUACCCGUACCGUAAACCGACACAGGUGGAUGAGGAGAGAAUCCUAAGGCCGGCGGGAGAAGCAUUGUUAAGGAACUCGGCAAAAUGGCCCCGUAACUUAGGGAUAAGGGGUGCCACAGUGAUGUGGCCGCAGAGAAUAGGCUCAAGCAACUGUUUAGCAAAAACACAGGUCUAUGCGAAACCGAGAGGUGAGGUAUAUGGGCUGACGCCUGCCCGGUGCUGGAAGGUUAAGAGGAGAGGUCAGGAAACGAAGCCUUGAAUUGAAGCCCCAGUAAACGGCGGCCGUAACUAUAACGGUCCUAAGGUAGCGAAAUUCCUUGUCGGGUAAGUUCCGACCCGCACGAAAGGCGUAAUGAUUUGAGCGCUGUCUCGACAAUGCACCCGGUGAAAUUGAAGUACCAGUGAAGAUGCUGGUUACCCGCGCCAGGACGGAAAGACCCCAUGGAGCUUUACUCCAGCUUGAUACUGGGAUCCGGUGUCCAAUGUACAGGAUAGGUGGGAGGCUGAGAGCCAUGAACGCAAGUUUAUGGGGAGCCGCUGUUGGGAUACCACCCUUUGGGUACUGGAUUUCUAACCUGCGCCCGUGACCCGGGCGGGGGACAAUGUCUGGCGGGGAGUUUGACUGGGGCGGUCGCCUCCGAAAGGGUAUCGGAGGCGCUCAAAGGUUCACUCAGAAUGGUCGGAAACCAUUCGGAGAGCGCAAAGGCAGAAGUGAGCCUGACUGUGACACCGACGGGUGGAACAGGUACGAAAGUAGGACUUAGUGAUCCGGUGGUAUAAAGUGGGAUUGCCAUCGCUCAACGGAUAAAAGCUACCCUGGGGAUAACAGGCUUAUCACUCCCAAGAGUUCACAUCGACGGAGUGGUUUGGCACCUCGAUGUCGGCUCAUCGCAUCCUGGGGCUGUAGCAGGUCCCAAGGGUUGGGCUGUUCGCCCAUUAAAGCGGUACGCGAGCUGGGUUCAGAACGUCGUGAGACAGUUCGGUCCCUAUCCGGCGCGGGCGGAGGAUAUCAGAGAGGAGCUGUCCUUAGUACGAGAGGACCGGGAUGGACGGACCGCUGGUGCAUCUGUUGGAUACCAGAUCCAUGGCAGAGUAGCCAAGUCCGGCAGGGAUAAACGCUGAAGGCAUCUAAGCGUGAAGCCCCCCUCAGGAUGAGAUAUCCCAUUCA